rnacentral:rRNA from 1 species
UACGUAGGGUGCAAGCGUUGUCCGGAAUUAUUGGGCGUAAAGAGCUUGUAGACGGUUUGUCGCGCCUGCUGUGAAAUUUCGGGGCUCAACCCCGAACUUGCAGUGGGUACGGGCAGACUAGAGUGUGGUAGGGGAGACUGGAAUUCCUGGUGUAGCGGUGAAAUGCGCAGAUAUCAGGAGGAACACCGAUGGCGAAGGCAGGUCUCUGGGCCAUAACUGACGCUGAGAAGCGAAAGCAUGGGGAGCGAACAGG